rnacentral:rRNA from 1 species
UGCCCAGACUCCUACGGGAGGCAGCAGUGGGGAAUAUUGCACAAUGGGGGAAACCCUGAUGCAGCGACGCCGCGUGAGCGAAGAAGUACCUCGGUAUGUAAAGCUCUAUCAGCAGGGAAGAAGAUGACGGUACCUGACCAAGAAGCUCCGGCUAAAUACGUGCCAGCAGCCGCGGUAAUACGUAGGGGGCAAGCGUUAUCCGGAUUUACUGGGUGUAAAGGGGGCGCAGACGGCGAUGCAAGCCAGGAGUGAAAGCCCGGGGCCCAACCCCGGGACUGCUCUUGGAACUGCGUGGCUGGAGUGCAGGAGGGGCAGGCGGAAUUCCUGGUGUAGCGGUGAAAUGCGUAGAUAUCAGGAGGAACACCGGCGGCGAAGGCGGCCUGCUGGACCGCGACUGACGUUGAGGCUCGAAAGCGUGGGGAGCGAACAGGAUUAGAUACCCGGGUA